rnacentral:RNase_P_RNA from 1 species
UAAGCAGAUCGCCUUAUCGCUGUGUUUACACAGAGGAAAGUCCGAACACCAUAGUGCAGCAUAGUGGUUAACAGCCAUCAACCGUGAGGUUAGGAAAAGUGCAACAGAAAGUAUGUACAGGUAAUGCUGUAGUGAAAUCAGGUAAACUCUAUGCGGUGCAAUGCCAUGUAUACCAACGUUUGAGUGCGGCACGUACGAUUGUUGGAGGGUAGGCAGCUAGAGUGUAUUGGCAACAAUGCAUUAAGAUAAAUGAUAAGGGCUGUUUUUUGAACAGUACAGAAUUCGGCUUAUAGAUCUGCUUUUUAU